rnacentral:rRNA from 1 species
GGGUGUGAUCAUACCAACAUUAAUGCACCAGAUCCCAUUGGAACUCCGUAGUUAAGAGAGCUUGGGCUAGAGUAGUACUAGGAUGGGUGACCUUCCAGGAAGUCCCAGUGUUGCACCCU